rnacentral:misc_RNA from 1 species
GAUGAAGAACGCAUCGAAAUGCGAUACGUAAUGUGAAUUGCAGAAUUCAGUGAAUCAUCGAGUCUUUGAACGCACAUUGCGCCCCCUGGUAUUCCGGGGGGCAUGCCUGUCCGAGCGUCAUUGCUGCCCUCAAGCACGGCUUGUGUGUUGGGCCUCCGCCCCCCGGCUCCCGGGGGGCGGGCCCGAAAGGCAGCGGCGGCACCGCGUCCGGUCCUCGAGCGUAUGGGGCUUCGUCACCCGCUCCGUAGGCCCGGCCGGCGCCCGCCGGCGACCCCCCUCAAUCUUUCCAGGUUGACCUCGGAUCAGGUAGGGAUACCCGCUGAACUUAAGCAUAUCAAUAAGCGGAGGA